AAUAAAGCCCCACCCUGGGCGGGCCCUGGACUGAGUCUGGGCAGUGUGAGGUUGCGCCACUUCUGCUCCUUGACACCCAGUCUGGGAUCCACUCCGAUGGACCCCUUCUCCCUGCUGGCAGAAUCGCCCUUUUGGUGGCCUUUCCCAGGUCACGUCCACAUCAACUCUGGUGCCCAGCUACAAAGCUAUCCUGUCUUCAGCUCAGUGCAUAUUUAUCCGCACUAUAUGCUGCAGAGCUUGGAGUGGAAGAGAUUGUAAAGAUGAUCAGGCAAGUUAAAAGCAUUUUGUGAUUACAGAGUCUGCCACAGAAGAUGCUUGUUUGAAUGCAUAGUGGGUGCAGUGCUGUCAGCAAAGAGGCAGAUACUCUCUGUGGAAAGAGAAAAAAAAAAUCAACUGAUACACUGCAUCCUUGUUGACUGGUGGCUCAUUAUAGAGGCUAAUAAGAGAAAAUACAUUCUCAUGUACUGAUCGUUGGAGCUCAGAGAAUUCUAGGAGAGCCACCUACUGAGAUGGAGACUCAUUUAAAUAGAAUUUUGGAGGAAAGGAUGAUGCCAGAAGGUACAAUUUGCAGCAUUUUUGCUGCCACCUACAGGCACCCCCCUGAGAACCACCUCUGAUGUCGGAAAACUUCCUGAUAAGACUACUCAGCUGUUUCUUAAAGAAAAAUUAAAAUCUCUAAGAGAACUGAGCCCAGAGCCCACAGGGAAGAAUCAAGAUCAUGGGCAAUUAGGAAAUGACUUCAAGGGAGCAGAUGCAAUCAAGAGCAUUCCUUGCCAAUUGUAGGCACUCUACUUGAAGAAAUAAAAUGUCACAUAUUGUGUGAAUCAUUUGCAUUAUGUCGGGCUAGAAUCAGGAACAAGAAGCAACAAGAAUUUCAUGAAGUUGGAGCGAUUGACAGUCACUCUGCAAAGUUAUCGGGCAUCAUCCAAGUUGCAUAAUUUCAAUUUAACUGUUUCAUCUAGAACAACAAUAAUAGCCAAUCUCCACUGUUAACUCAUUUCCAUUCAUUUAUUGAUCCAUCACAGCAUUCAGUCAAUUAUGCAGUAAAAAUAGGUAUUGAAUGUUUACUAUGGGCAUGACGGUGUAUAAGUCACAUGUUGCUUUUAUAGCCUUUAAUGUUAAGGACUUUGAGGUUCUGCACAUGUCAAGGACAUACAGACUAGUGAUUCAAUGUAGAGAAAGUAAUUGCUUUAAAAGUAACAUAUUUAAGGACAGAAAAAGCAUCAAGCUUAGAGGAACUUAGCAGAACUACUCCACUGUGUGUAUAUGCAAAAUAUACUGAGUAACCGUAUGUCUAUGCUGUCCCAUAGGUACCACUAGCCAUAGGUGGUUAUUGAGCCUGAAAUGUGGCUAAUUUUAAU